ensembl:rRNA 5S_rRNA 5S ribosomal RNA
GCCAACAGCCAUAUCACCCUGCAACUCACAACUGGCAGUCCACUGAAGCUAAGCAGGUGUGAGCCUGGUCAGUACCUGGAUAGGAGACCUCCUGGGAAAACUAAGGUUGCUCCUGGAA